UGCGUAGGGUGCAAGCGUUGUCCGGAAUUAUUGGGCGUAAAGAGCUCGUAGGCGGUUUGUCGCGUCUGCUGUGAAAACCCGAGGCUCAACCUCGGGCCUGCAGUGGGUACGGGCAGACUAGAGUGCGGUAGGGGAGAUUGGAAUUCCUGGUGUAGCGGUGGAAUGCGCAGAUAUCAGGAGGAACACCAAUGGCGAAGGCAGAUCUCUGGGCCGUAACUGACGCUGAGGAGCGAAAGCAUGGGGAGCGAACAGG
rnacentral:rRNA from 1 species